GAUUAGAUACCCUAUUAUUUUAAAUGUAAAUUAUUAUACUAAAGUAGUAAUAGUUAAGUUCUUUAAAUUUAAAGAUUUUGGCGGUAUUUUAGUCUAUUCAGAGGAACCUGUUCUGUGAUUGAUAAUCCACGAUUAACUUUACUUAGUUUAAUAAUUUGUAUAUCGUCGUUUAUAAAUAAUUUUAAAAGAAUUUAAAUUUUUAAGAUUUUUUAUUAAAAAAUAUAUCAGAUCAAGGUGCAGUUUAUAAUUAAGUAGAAAUGGGUUACAAUAAAUUUAUUUAUACGGAUUGAUAUAUUAAAUUAUAUUAUGAAGGAGGAUUUGAUAGUAAUAAAAUUUAAUUAAAUUUUAUGAUUUUAGCUCUAAAAUAUGUACACAUCGCCCGU
rnacentral:rRNA from 1 species